rnacentral:misc_RNA from 1 species
GAUGAAGAACGUAGCGAAAUGCGAUACGUAAUGUGAAUUGCAGAAUUCAGUGAAUCAUCGAGUCUUUGAACGCACAUUGCGCCCCCUGGUAUUCCGGGGGGCAUGCCUGUCCGAGCGUCAUUGCUGCCCUCAAGCACGGCUUGUGUGUUGGGCCUCCGUCCUCCUCCCGGGGGACGGGCCCGAAAGGCAGCGGCGGCACCGCGUCCGGUCCUCGAGCGUAUGGCUUCGUCACCCGCUCUUGUAGGCCCGGCCGGCGCUUGCCGACACAUCAAUCUUUUUUCCAGGUUGACCUCGGAUCAGGUAGGGAUACCCGCUGAACUUAAGCAUAUCAAUAAGCGGAGGA